AGAGGGAAGAAGAAGAGUGGAAUUAAGAAGUCCCUUUCUGUCUUUGUGUUUGGUUCAUGGUGAAAUAGAUAUCUGAGAAUGUUUGAAGCAUACCUCAACCCUUAGCCUCUACACAAUUUUUCCUUAUGGAAGGUCUUGCACCUUGAUCUCACAGAACCUGAGCAAUACAUCUUCUGUUCCAGUAAUGUGUGAAGUUUGAAGAAGUCUCUUUUGUGGAGAGCAGGAAUGUGAAAUACUGAAGCGUCUUGCAGAAAGAAGGCUUCCACAAAAAGACAAGGCUGAGGAUGCUAUUACAGCCUGGGACCAUGCCCAAAUCCAGGCACUUGCUGUUUUUCAGAAGGCUGCUGCUCCUCUUGUGUCUUUGGAGGAACUGUCUGAGGGAGCAGCCACCUAGCUGAACCUUUGCUCCUGCCUUUCCUGACUUGUACAGAAGGAGGAGGAACAGAGCACCUACAUGGGGCAUGGGACCUGCUCAGUCUGAUUUGCAGCUUAGGAAAGACACUGCUUUGAGCUCUAGACACUACUUUGAGAGCACGACUCAGAUGAAGAAAGCAUGAACAUGUCCACUCCUCAGCUGUUGGUGCUCCCUUCAUUACAAGUGGUGAGAAAAAGCAUGUGAUUCAUCUCAGCCUUAAGGUAAGGUUUGAAUUAG